rnacentral:rRNA from 1 species
UACGGAGGGUGCGAGCGUUGUCCGGAAUCACUGGGCGUAAAGGGCGCGUAGGCGGCGCGGGUAGUCAUCGGUGAAAGUUCAGGGCUCAACUCUGAAUCGGCCGGUGAUACUCCCGUGCUCGAGCACUGUAGAGGCAGGUGGAAUUCCGGGUGUAGCGGUGGAAUGCGUAGGAGAUCCGGAAGAACACCGGUGGCGAAGGCGGCCUGCUGGGCAGACACUGACGCUGAUGCGCGAAGCGUGGGAGC